rnacentral:rRNA from 1 species
GAGUUUGAUCUUGGCUCAGAUUGAACGCUGGCGGCAUGCCUUACACAUGCAAGUCGAACGGCAGCACGGGAGCUUGCUCCUGGUGGCGAGUGGCGAACGGGUGAGUAAUGCAUCGGAACGUAUCCCGGAGUGGGGGAUAACGUAGCGAAAGUUACGCUAAUACCGCAUAUUCUGUGAGCAGGAAAGCGGGGGACCUUCGGGCCUCGCGCUCUUGGAGCGGCCGAUGUCGGAUUAGCUAGUUGGUGAGGUAAAGGCUCACCAAGGCGACGAUCCGUAGCAGGUCUGAGAGGAUGAUCUGCCACACUGGAACUGAGACACGGUCCAGACUCCUACGGGAGGCAGCAGUGGGGAAUUUUGGACAAUGGGGGCAACCCUGAUCCAGCCAUGCCGCGUGAGUGAAGAA